rnacentral:rRNA from 1 species
CGGGACGGGUGAGUAAUGUCUGGGAAACUGCCUGAUGGAGGGGGAUAACUACUGGAAACGGUAGCUAAUACCGCAUAACGUCGCAAGACCAAAGAGGGGGACCGUUCGGGCCUCUUGCCAUCGGAUGUGCCCAGAUGGGAUUAGCUAGUAGGUGGGGUAACGGCUCACCUAGGCGACGAUCCCUAGCUGGUCUGAGAGGAUGACCAGCCACACUGGAACUGAGACACGGUCCAG